CCUACGGGGGGCUGCAGUAAGGAAUAUUGGACAAUGGCGGAGACGCUGAUCCAGCUAUCCCGCGUGCAGGAUGAAGGACCUAUGGUUUGUAAACUGCUUUAGACUGGGGCGAAAAAGUGGGAUUUAUCCUACAUUGACGGUACCAGUAAAAUAAGCACCGGCUAACUCCGUGCCAGCAGCCGCGGUAAUACGGAGGGUGCAAGCGUCACUCGGAAUCACUGGGGAGAAGGGGGGCGUCGGCGGCUGGCGUGAACGGCCACGGCUUAACCGUGGGAUUGCUUUUGAUACUGGCGAGCUUGGAUUAGGACGAGGUUUGCGGAAUGUGGCAAGUCGCGGUGAAAUGCAUAGAUAUGCCAUAGAAUACCGAUUGCGAAGGCAGCUGACUAGACCUAUAUUGACGCUGAGGCACGAAAGCGUGGGGAGCGAACAGGAUUAGAUACCCUUGUAGUC
rnacentral:rRNA from 1 species